rnacentral:rRNA from 1 species
AUUGAACGCUGGCGGCAGGCCUAACACAUGCAAGUCGAGCGGAUGAAGGGAGCUUGCUCCUGGAUUCAGCGGCGGACGGGUGAGUAAUGCCUAGGAAUCUGCCUGGUAGUGGGGGAUAACGUCCGGAAACGGGCGCUAAUACCGCAUACGUCCUGAGGGAGAAAGUGGGGGAUCUUCGGACCUCACGCUAUCAGAUGAGCCUAGGUCGGAUUAGCUAGUUGGUGGGGUAAAGGCCUACCAAGGCGACGAUCCGUAACUGGUCUGAGAGGAUGAUCAGUCACACUGGAACUGAGACACGGUCCAGACUCCUACGGGAGGCAGCAGUGGGGAAUAUUGGGCAAUGGGCGAAAGCCUGAUCCAGCCAUGCCGCGUGUGUGAAGAAGGUCUUCGGAUUGUAAAGCUCUUUAAGUUGGGAGGAAGGGCAGUAAGUUAAUACCUUGCUGUUUUGACGUUACCAACAGAAUAAGCACCGGCUAACUUCGUG